UCAAAGUUCCAGUAAUCCUUCACUCUUCAAAUGAAGUAUGAACCGUAGGCAGGCACUCCGGAGUUUUGUUGUGUGUAGAUGAUCGCGUUGCGCCAAUUAUGAUUAUGUGAUUAUUCUAUCAUAACAUUCGUUUUUGAAAACAAUGUGCUACAGUGUUCGGCGAGGCCUUGCAGCGUCUCCCAUCGUGCAACGAAGAGGUGUUCAUCCACUGGUGUUUGUGAAAGUUCGUUGUUACGAAGCCUGAGGGGUCGAUGAAUGAAGAAUCAGGGUGUAAUGUACGUGGGACUGAUUUGCAGAAAUGUGAGUACUUCUGUGGGAUUAUUCAUUAUGUUCUGCAUGUUUUUAGGAUUUUUUGUUUGCGUUUGCCUGAUUACUUCAAUGGUCUCGCAUUCA